GCAAGAGUGGCCCAAAUAGGUAAGGCGUCUGGUUGCCGAUCAGAAGAUUAUGGGUUCGAAACCCAUCUCUUGCU
rnacentral:tRNA from 1 species